ACCCACAACACCCUGCGCCAAAGCGCGCGAAAAUCGCAGCGCCAGAGCGGCGUCUCUUCGAUGGUCUGCCUCCGCGUUUCUCCUCAAAGAAGUCCGUUUCUCCUCCAGGGCUCCAAGCGGUCCCUCUUCAGAAAUAUGAUAAGAAGACGGACUUCGGGUCCUGGAAAAUAACCUGGACUUGGCUCUUGGCGGGCAACAGUGGGCGCAGCGGGCUGGGCAAAUUGGAAGCGGAGGGAUCAGCACUUUGCGCGCAGAGUCUGCUGGGAGUUGUAGUCCAUAUACCGCCCUGAAGCCGGCGGCGACGCCCUUUUCUCAGCGGCUCUCCGGCCUGGGUGUGGCUGGGCUGUCCGUUGCGAGGUGGCCUCGUUCACCUUAGGGAGAAGGCUCCUCUGUCCCGCCUACGCUCGGGCCUGCUUCCUGGACCCUGGGAACCGUCUCAGUACAGUCAUUCUAGGCUGAGGGAUGCCUGAGCAUAAACCUGAAGGCAUGGCACUGGCAUCGGGACUUACCUUCUGCUCCACCGAAACCCCUGCUUCAGGAGGCACCAGAGUGAGCUUUUAAAAGUGAGCCAGCUGGACUGCAUAGGCUGAAGAAACAAGUUACAGAGGCAGAAGAAGGACACUUGGAGCUUAGGAGAUAAAGGCAAAGAUCAUCUAGACUUGAACUGAGGGGCAUUGCCAGCUUGAAAAUGAUCCAAGAACAAAAGAAACAUCUCUCACAGGUCAUCUAUCAAACAAAAACUGAGAAACAUUGCCGGAAGCCAAUUCCAGCAUGACAGCAGGCUGAAUCAUCUGGAGUGGCAAGGGCAUUUCCCCAAACCUGAAAAGGAUGCAUUAAAUUGUUUGCUGCCAGACAGCUCCGGGC